GUUGGGAGUUUCGUCAACACGGGACGGUUUUCCAGAAACGAAUGCCAUUGGAGGAUCUGCUGCUGCCUGGAAGCCAAGGUUGGAUGAUGCAAAUCCCUGGAUUGAGUUUGGGGUGCGUCGUUCUAUGUAUCUUGUUGAACUUCGAAUACACAAGGACAUGUCUUCCGUCACGACGAGUGUCUGGCUCAGAGACGGUAGUGGGCUCUGGAUCAAAACGUGGACGAGAGGCGACGGGGGGGUCCGCUCAGUCUGAUUGGUUCUUUCCACACUUUCGAAUGCUGACUGUUCGCACAGACGCAGUGAGGCUGACCUUUGACAACCCCAGUGCUGUUGAAAUUAGGUUCAUAUCGGUGGUUGGUCGCGAAAAUUGACCACUCCAACCAUGUUCCACGUCACACACGUUCCAUGGCACACACGUUUCAGGUCACACAC